ACGAACGCUGGCGGCAUGCCUCACACAUGCAAGUCGCACGAGACCUUCGGGUCUAGUGGCGCACGGGUGCGUAACGCGUGGGAAUCUGCCCUUGGGUUCGGAAUAACAGUUGGAAACGACUGCUAAUACCGGAUGAUGACGUAAGUCCAAAGAUUUAUCGCCCAAGGAUGAGCCCGCGUAGGAUUAGCUAGUUGGUGAGGUAAAGGCUCACCAAGGCGACGAUCCUUAGCUGGUCUGAGAGGAUGAUCAGCCACACUGGGACUGAGACACGGCCCAGACUCCUACGGGAGGCAGCAGUGGGGAAUAUUGGACAAUGGGCGAAAGCCUGAUCCAGCAAUGCCGCGUGAGUGAUGAAGGCCUUAGGGUUGUAAAGCUCUUUUACCCGGGAUGAUAAUGACAGUACCGGGAGAAUAAGCGCCGGCUAACUCCGUG
rnacentral:rRNA from 1 species